rnacentral:rRNA from 1 species
UACGGGGGGGGCAAGCGUUGUUCGGAAUUACUGGGCGUAAAGGGCUUGUAGGUGGCCAACUAAGUCAGACGUGAAAUCCCUCGGCUUAACCGGGGAACUGCGUCUGAUACUGGAUGGCUUGAGUGCGGAAGAGGGAAGCGGAAUUUCCGGUGUAGCGGUGAAAUGCGUAGAUAUCGGAAGGAACAUCAGUGGCGAAAGCGGCUUCCUGGUCCAGCACCGACGUUCAGGCACGAAAGCGUGGGGAGCAAACAGG